rnacentral:lncRNA from 1 species
GCUAGGAAGCACGGACACGCUGUCCGUGCUUCCGUGUCGUGUCCGACACGUGUCGGAGCGUGUUGGACACGUCGACACGCUCGGACACGGUCGGACACGCGGUCAACGCGUGUCGGAUUUUCCGACACGCGGUCAACUUUUCUCGACACGCGUGUCGACGCGUGUCCGGAAGACUGAUGGAGGGUGGAGGCGAGGGAGGGCGAGGGAGCAGAGGCCGCGAGCGCCGGCGAGACGAAGCCGCGACGGCGAGACGAAGCCACGACGGCGAGAGACGGCUAGAGAAAGAGCCGAACAGAGAGAAAGAAGAGAGAAGGCAAACUCCCACCGGCGAGACGAAGCCACGAACGGACCACCGCGACGGCGAGAGAUGGCCAGAGAGAGCGGCGAGGGCCGCCACUGUUGCGAUGGAUCGGCGACGAGAGGAAGAGGAGAGGAGGGAAGGGGGUCGUGCG